UCCUCUGGCUCGGCAGCGGCAAGAU
rnacentral:sRNA from 1 species